rnacentral:lncRNA from 1 species
UCUUUGGUCCAAUCGUAGCCUUUAAUUCAAAUUAAUCAGUGAUCCCAAUUGGAAGACACAUGGAUCCCUAUCCUCAAUUAUCCCUCUCAACCAAUGGUCCUUUGACACAUCACAAGAAAAAAGAAAAAAACAAAAGUUAAAGAAGUAGUAAAGAAAAAAAUAGAGAUUUAGGACACAAAAGGGGCAGUUCUCAACGUCUCUUUGGACUCUCUCAUUAAGAGAGAUCUUUUUCUGAAAAGGACAAAAAAAAGAAAAUAAAUAAAUAAGUGAAAUAACUCUUCCUCUUCUUCAUUGGAAAAACCUAGCCGCUCACUCUCCAACUUCUUCAUUCGAAAAACCCUAGCCGUCACACCCUCUUCUUCCUCACAAAAACCCUAGCCGUCACGCCCUUCAUCUUCAUUUUCUUCAAGCUUCUUCAACCCUAAACCCGAGCCGCCGCCUCCUUCACCCUUCAUCUUCCUCACUUCAUCAUUUUU